rnacentral:rRNA from 1 species
AGUGAACGCUGGCGGUAGGCCUAACACAUGCAAGUCGAACGGCAGCACAGUAAGAGCUUGCUCUUACGGGUGGCGAGUGGCGGACGGGUGAGGAAUACAUCGGAAUCUACUUUUUCGUGGGGGAUAACGUAGGGAAACUUACGCUAAUACCGCAUACGACCUACGGGUGAAAGCAGGGGAUCUUCGGACCUUGCGCGAUUGAAUGAGCCGAUGUCGGAUUAGCUAGUUGGCGGGGUAAAGGCCCACAAAGGCGACGAUCCGUAGCUGGUCUGAGAGGAGGAUCAGCCACACUGGAACUGAAACACGGUCCAGACUCCUACGGGAGGCAGCAGUGGGGAAUAUUGGACAAUGGGCGCAAUCCUGAUCCAGCCAGACCGCGUGGGUGAAGAAGGCCUUCGGGUUGUAAAGCCCUUUUGUUGGGAAAGAAAAGCAGCAGGUUAAUACCCCGCUGUUCUGACGGUACCCAAAGAAUAAGCACCGGCUAACUUCGUG